rnacentral:rRNA from 1 species
AAGGGGGCCCAGCAAUGGGCAACCGGCGAACGGGUGCGUAACACGUGAGCAACCUACCGAACUGUGGGGGAUAGCCGGCCUAACGGCCGAGUAAUACCGCAUACGCUUUCAGUGAGGCAUUUCAUUGAAAGGAAACCUACGGGACAGAUCGAGGGGCUCGCGGCCUAUCAGCUAGUUGGCGAGGUAACGGCUCACCAAGGCAACGACGGGUAGCUGGUCUGAGAGGAUGGCCAGCCACAUUGGGACUGAGAUACGGCCCAGACUCCUACGGGAGGCAGCAGUGGGGAAUCUUGCGCAAUGGCCUAACGGCUGACGCAGCGACGCCGCGUGUGGGAUGAAGCUCCUCGGAGUGUAAACCACUGUUGCCCGGGACGAAUAGCUCGAUUAAUCGAGCCUGACGGUACCGGGUGAGGAAGCACCGGCUAACUCCGUGCCAGCAGCCGCGGUAAUACGGGGGGUGCGAGCGUUGUCCGGAAUCACUGGGCGUAAAGGGCGCGUAGGUGGUUUGAUAAGGGUGUGGUGAAAGUCCGGGGCUCAACCCCGGAUCUGCCGUGCCGACUGUCAAACUCGAGGGCUGUAGAGGCAGGCGGAAUUCCGGGUGUAGCGGUGGAAUGCGUAGAGAUCCGGAGGAAGACCGGUGGCGAAGGCGGCCUGCUGGGCAGUUUCUGACACUGAUG